UACGUAGGGUGCGAGCGUUAAUCGGAAUUACUGGGCGUAAAGCGUGCGCAGGCGGUUUUGUAAGUCGGGUGUGAAAUCCCCGGGCUUAACCUGGGAAUGGCAUUUGGGACUGCAAGGCUGGAGUGUGGCAGAGGAGACUGGAAUUCCUGGUGUAGCAGUGAAAUGCGUAGAUAUCAGGAGGAAUACCGAUGGCGAAGGCAGGUCUCUGGGCUGACACUGACGCUCAUGCACGAAAGCGUGGGGAGCAAACAGG
rnacentral:rRNA from 1 species